rnacentral:rRNA from 1 species
AGAACGAACGCUGGCGGCAUGCCUAACACAUGCAAGUCGAACGCUUUUGGGGCUUCGGUCCCAAAGGAGUGGCGCACGGGUGAGUAGCGCGUGGGAACCUGCCCUGUUGUGGGGGAUAACCGAGGGAAACUUCGGCUAAUACCGCAUACGCCCGGGGGAAACUCCGGGGAAAGAUUUAUCGCAGCAGGAGGGGCCCGCGUCGGAUUAGGUAGUUGGUGGGGUAACGGCCCACCAAGCCUGUGAUCCGUAGCUGGUCUGAGAGGAUGAUCAGCCACACUGGGACUGAGACACGGCCCAGACUCCUACGGGAGGCAGCAGUGGGGAAUAUUGGACAAUGGGCGCAAGCCUGAUCCAGCAAUGCCGCGUGAGUGAUGAAGGCCUUCGGGUUGUAAAGCUCUUUCGCACGCGACGAUGAUGACGGUAGCGUGAGAAGAGCCCCGGCUAACUUCGCGCCAGCAGCCGC